rnacentral:rRNA from 1 species
GACGAACGCUGGCGGCGUGCUUAACACAUGCAAGUCGAACGGAAAGGCCCUGCUUUUGUGGGGUGCUCGAGUGGCGAACGGGUGAGUAACACGUGAGUAACCUGCCCUUGACUUUGGGAUAACUUCAGGAAACUGGGGCUAAUACCGGAUAGGAGCUCCUGCUGCAUGGUGGGGGUUGGAAAGUUUCGGCGGUUGGGGAUGGACUCGCGGCUUAUCAGCUUGUUGGUUGGGUAGUGGCUUACCAAGGCUUUGACGGGUAGCCGGCCUGAGAGGGUGACCGGCCACAUUGGGACUGAGAUACGGCCCAGACUCCUACGGGAGGCAGCAGUGUGGAAUAUUGCACAAUGGGCGGAAGCCUGAUGCAGCAACGCCGCGUGCGGGAUGACGGCCUUCGGGUUGUAAACCGCUUUCGCCUGUGACGAAGCGUGAGUGACGGUAAUGGGUAAAGAAGCACCGGCUAACUACGUG